rfam:Streptomyces sp. Tu 6176 genomic scaffold scaffold00008, whole genome shotgun sequence.
GCGCGAUUAGCUCAGCGGGAGAGCGCUUCCCUGACACGGAAGAGGUCACUGGUUCAAUCCCAGUAUCGCGCA